rnacentral:rRNA from 1 species
GUCAGAGCCGUAUCUCCCUGCAGUUCUCACCUGGUGUCCCACUGAAGAUGAGCAAGGUUGAAUCUGGUCAGUACCUGGAUGGGAGACCUCCUGUGGAAGAUUAAGGUUGCUGCUGGAA